AUUGAACGCUGGCGGCAGGCCUAACACAUGCAAGUCGAACGAGUGGCGGACGGGUGAGUAAUGUCUUGAAAACUGCCCGAUGUAGGGGUAUAACUACUGGAAACGGUGGCUAAUACCGCAUACCAUCGGAUGUGCCCUGAUGGGAUUAUCUAGUAGGUGGGGUAAUGGCUCACCUAGGCGACGAUGCCUAGCUGGUCUGAGAGGAUGACCGGCCACACUGGAACUGAGACACGGCCCAGACUCCUACGGGAGGCAGCAGUGGGGAAUAUUGCACAAUGGGCGAAAGCCUGAUGGAGCAAUGCCGCGUGUAUGAAGAAGGCCUUCGGGUUGUAAAGCACUUUCAGCGAGGAGGCGGUACUCGCAGAGGAAGCACCGGCUAACUCCGUGCCAGCAGCCGCGGUAAUAC
rnacentral:rRNA from 1 species